AGUGAGAUAGCUAAGUGGCUAAAAGUAUUAGCAGUGCUAGCCUGAAGACCUGGGUUCAAUCCCCAGUCCUACAU
rnacentral:tRNA from 1 species